GAUGAACGCUGGCGGCGUGCUUAACACAUGCAAGUCGAACGGAAAGGCCCUGCUUUUGUGGGGUGUUCGAGUGGCGAACGGGUGAGUAACACGUGAGUCACCCGCCCUUGACUUUGGGAUAACUUCAGGCAACCGGGGCUAAUACCGGAUAGGAGCUCCUGCUGCAUGGUGGGGGUUGGAAAGUUUCGGCGGUUGGGGAUGGACUCGCGGUUCAUCAGCUUGUAGGUGGGGUAGUGGCUUACCAAGGCUUCGACGGCUAGCCGGCCUGUGAGGGUGGCCGGCGACAUUGCGCCUAAGGUACGCCCCAGUCGCCUACGGGAGGCAGCAGUGGGGAGUAUUACACAAUGAGGGGGCGCCUGUUGAAGCAGCGCCGCGUGCGGGAAGACGGCCUUCGGGGUGUAAACCGCUUUCGCCUUAGACGAAGCGUUAGUGACGGUAAUGGGUAAAGAAGCACCGGCUAACUACGUG
rnacentral:rRNA from 1 species